GACGAACGCUGGCGGCGUGCUUAACACAUGCAAGUCGAACGGAAAGGCCCUGCUUUUGUGGGGUGCUCGAGUGGCGAACGGGUGAGUAACACGUGAGUAACCUGCCCUUGACUUUGGGAUAACUUCAGGAAACUGGGGCUAAUACCGGAUAGGAGCUCCUGCUGCAUGGUGGGGGUUGGAAAGUUUCGGCGGUUGGGGAUGGACUCGCGGCUUAUCAGCUUGUUGGUGGGGUAGUGGCUUACCAAGGCUUUGACGGGUAGCCGGCCUGAGGGGGUGACCGGCCCAAUGGGGCUGGGGUACGGGCCCAGACCCUUACGGGGGGAGCAGUGGGGAAUAUUGCACAAUGGGGGGGAGCCUGAUGCAGCAACGCCGCGUGCGGGAUGACGGCCUUCGGGUUGUAAACCGCUUUCGCCUGUGACGAAGCGUGAGUGACGGUAAUGGGUAAAGAAGCACCGGCUAACUACGUG
rnacentral:rRNA from 1 species